AGAGAUACAUAGGGUGAGAAACGGAGGCCUUCAGCCAACAGCUGGGAGAAGCUGAGUCCCAUCAGCCAUUCAAAAGACUGCAGCCCCAGCCAAGAGUUUGAUGUAACCUCAGGAGAGACCCUGAGCCAGAACCACCUAGAAAAGCUGGGAUACAUGAAGACUGCCAUCCCUUGAGUCACUUGCCCUGUAGCUGCCACUGUUGGAAAAGGGCUUGCUUCUGUGUCCUUGUGCCCACUUUGAAAAUCCCUGGGAAGUCCUUGGAGUCAGAUGAGCAGGCCUCCGCCACUCUGCCAAAAAGUCUGUUCAAUCAGGAGUCCCCAACCCCUGAGCCAUGGACUGAUAUGGAGCUAUGGUCUGUUAGGAACUGGGCUGCCCAGGAGGAGCAAUGGUGCUUCUACAAUUUCCUUAUAGGAGGAGUGAAGAGUAAGCAUUUGGAUUGGACCAGGAUUUGGAGAACUUGUCAUGUUGCUCUACGUGCAUAUGAAAUACAUCAUUGUAACUUAGAAUGUGAAUUACAGAACAAACAUGAA
rnacentral:lncRNA from 1 species